UCGAAUUAAGUUACAUCAAAUCUCUAGUAUAAAAGUUUAGUUAGACAUAGUAAUUAACUAAAACUCAGUAAUACAUGAAUAAAUCUUCGUAAUCAGUGAUGAACAAUAACGAGAAAAACAAGAUUAAGAGUUUAGAGAUAAAAACUAGGAAACAACUAUGUGGAAUGGCUUCCUCGAAUCUUGGCACAAAUCUUGGAUGCUUAAGCCCUUUGAGAGAGAGAGAACUAUGUAGAAAACUACUCAAUUUCGAGCUGUCUUUAUCAAUGAAGAGUUCUCCUCUUUAUAUAGACCUCCUGAAGGCAAAUCUGACUCCGUUUAGGAAAUAGAAUCCUUAUUAAGUAUAAAAUCUUCUUUAGGAGAUUAUGACUGUUUAGGCAUUGGAUUUCUUCUUAGUUAGGACUCUUUUCUCUUCCAAAAUAGGUCUAGAUCUUGUUUAGUACGUUUAGGAAACAUUCUGAGGCGGGCCCAUAUGAGAAAAGGAUUGAUUUUCAUUGUUAGUUCCGUUCUGCCUUUGAAGCACGGGCAUGCCAUUAAGCACGGCUUGGGCGUGCUCGAGUCUGAAACUCUAGAUGGUUGAGCACGGGUCGUGCUAUGCAACAUGCUCAGAUGAGUCUUUGUGGCGCAGGUAAGGCGUGCGCCUUGGCACGGGUAAGGCGUGCACCUUGGCACGGGUAAGGCGUGCUUGUCUCUGUCCUUCCAAGAUAGAUUUCGUCAUGGGCGUGCUAGGCAAGCACGCCUUGAAUUUCUUUUGAGCACGGGCGUGCUAUUUAGCACGAGCUAGUCGUGCUCGCUCCUGACUCUCCACUUGAUUUUCCUUAGUAUUUAGCACGGGAGUGCCUUUUAGCAUGGGCUGGGCGUGCUUGAGACCGAGUAUUUUGCUUUGUAAUGCUCCGUUCUGUGUCAAAACCCUGCAAAUUUCUUUCAGAUCAAGUGGGUUACGAUUCAAAGAAGCUUUGAACAAAAGUAUAAUUAAAAUGAAUUAAAAACAAAUCAAAGUGAUAAAAUUUACUAAAAUUCUAAUUAAAAACUAUACUAAAAAUAUUAUAAAACUGACACCUAUCAUACAUUCAACAAGCCUAUAAACAAAAGAUUUGAAAUUCCAUGAAGGAUUCGAUUAUUGGAUUAAUUUUAACUAUUCAACAUCAACUUAGCCAAAAUUUUAGAAAAAUCUCAUUUUCAAACCUAACUUCACAAAUCUCACCAAUCACCACAAGAAACUAUAAAUCAAAGGAGGGGAUGGGGUAUAGAAGAAGAAAGUGGUGUUUUGAGACCUACCUAACCGAUAGCCUUUGCCGGAAUUUAAUGAUUGUCGCUACAACAACAGUGAAUCAAUAAAGCUUACACUUUGCAGAUUUCUCAACAUCGAGAAGGAAGACGAAAGCAUCUCAUUGGCAAUUAACGGUUGAAGGAGGCUUCUUUAGUCUGAGAUCGAUUAGAGGUGAUUGAAAAUGGGAAGCAGAUAAUGGUAGGUGAUACGAUUGAGAGAGAGUUGGGUUAUCUUUAUCAAAACCUGGCGCUGAUGAAGGAGAGGAGGUCGAGAUGAUGGUCUCAUACCCACAUUGAGUUAUCCAAUGCUAGAGGUGGUUGAACAGUGACCGAAAACGGAAAAAUGGCUUGUUUGGUGAUGGAAACAAAGUUUUGAUGGGCAGCGAGUAUUUUAAAAGAGAAGAGAGAGUAAUAUGAGAAAG
rnacentral:lncRNA from 1 species